GCCACUAGCAGUGCUUGUCCCACUCUGUCAUAAGUCGGCUGCCGCAAGCAUUGAAUGGUGUUGUUUGAUUUAUUGCGCUUGUGGACAAUUUAAAAAAAAAGUUAGUGAGUCAAAUUUACUUAUCGGUACCUUUUACGUACUAAAUUGUGUGAGUCAAGUUUACUCAUCAGUACCCUUUACAAAACUAUAGAGCAUAUAAAUGGCAGGUCACGGGCUAUCAGAACAAAAUAGUUUGGAUGCAAUACUUGAACUAGAAUCUGAGGAAGAAGACAAUUUGGAGUUGGAGCUUUGUAACUUUGAUGAUUUUAUGUUAUCUCUACACAAGGAGUUAACAGAAGGAUUUCAAAGGAAAAGAUUAACUACUAAUACAAACAUGAGUCUGGCGCUGAAAAAAUCCAUUCAAAAUAUUGUAGGCAUAAGUCAAGAGGCCCAUAGUGCUGGAGAAGACCAAAAGGGGCCAAGAAAGUACUGUAAUUUUGUAGUUAUAAUAAACGUAGAUACACCACAACUUAUUGCAAUUGUGGAUUAGCUAUUUGCGGUGAACAUGCCCAAAAAAAGUGCCUUGACUGUGCUUGAAAAAUUUGUAUGCAUUCAUAAUCGUCAAAAAUUAAUAAUAAAGUAUUAUUUUUGCUUACUUUAUAUAUUUUAAUAAAAAACUACACUUAUAUUA